UAUGGUUACAUUAAAAAAACUUUAUAAUUAUAUAAAAUGUAUCAAAUAUAAUUUAUUAAAAUGUAUGAAACGUAUAAUUCUUAAAAUAUGUUAAUGUAUGGUAUUUGCUUUUUUUCUGGUAAGAAUAAAAUCUUAGUCUGUACCGCCCUCUAUUGAACAGUUUGCGCAUGCGCGCUUUAGGCACAUUAAUACGAUGAUCGCGCUGAACGCUCAUCCAUCACGCUCCGCUUCCUCACACAGACUCUUGUCCAUUCAGUAGACUGACAUGUUUUGUAUAGUUUUAAAGCCAAACACACCGUUAAAAUUCCGCUAGUAGAAUUAAAAUAUCAACUUAAAAUUAACGCAGGACUGAAUUUUAACAAGGACAUAGGACCUAUCCUACAUUUAAUAGCAACUAAUGGCUGAAGCCCGAUAUGAGGAUUUGGAUGAAACUAUUCCAAAUGUUAGCAUUACGAGGACAAGAGAUUCAACAGGUAAGAGAUUCAAUAUAUAUAUUAGGGUCUAAACAUAUGUCUGAAUUAUGAAGAGAUUACAUGUUUCAUUAAUUAAUUUAUUAUUAUAUACUACAGUGAUUAUUUGUCAUGGUGGGUUUAUUUUUAAAAGACAUUAAAGUCUUGGCUACACAAAGCAAUUGAACAUUUCCUCCGUUUUUGCCAAGGUAAAAAAUAUAACAAACCAGUGGCCCCCCUGAUAGCAAUAGACUCCGGGGCGGAUCCGCCCUCCCCCAAGCCGCCAGGUCCGCUGUUCUCUCAGACUCAAUUCGGCCAUGCGCACAGAAUAUGCCCCGCCUACAGACAGCGCACUGUCAACUCGCGGACUCACUACAGACGCUGGGCGGAUUCGCUGACUGAACGCGCCUAUUUUCAACCGUCACCAUCACUGAAUCAUUCUCCACAGUGGAAAAGCUGCUGCCGUCAGUUCAGCGAGGACGGAACACGCUUACAGUUAGUUCAAGUGCCACCAGUUUUUUUGGAGUUUCAUCUUUUCCAUUCAUCUGAGUAAGCUUACAGUUCGUUCAAGUGCCACCAGUCUGGUUUUGGAGUUUCAUCUUUUCCAUUCAUCUGAGUAAAAUGACUACUUUGAGGCACGACAACUCUUGAAGAAAUCUCUGAUGUGUAACACAUCAGAUCUACAGUCUGAAGAGGAAGAGGAGGAGAUUCGGCCAAAAAGAAGGCCAAAGCCGAUUCAUUUCUUGGGAGACUCUGAUGACAGCGAGGAGGAAGGUACUCAGAAAAAGAGAGCCAGGGGUCCAGGCAAACUUUUAACACAACCACCAGCCCUGUUAUCUCACCACCACCUUUUAUCCCAAGUAGCGGCACAGUUGCUCCACCUCCACCCAUUUCACCACCUCACUUUUCACAGAGGCCAGCAGAAGAGCAAACUCCUUCAGCAAGCAGGGUCUACAGACCUACCUGGCGGGGGGGAAGAUGUGGAUCAGACAGUAUUGCCUGCUUUGCUGCAGAAAUCCACAUAAUGAGCUUGCUGGAAUUAAUAAAACAUCAACAAGAGCAAAUCAUGUCAAAAGUUAAUUAUUUGAUGAGCAAGUUGAACCCAGCAGGCCAAGACAUGGAAAUGGCUGACAACCCAGUUGAGUUUCCAUUAACAUCAAUGGAAGAAGUUGAGAAUUUUGAGGAGUGACUCAAAAAUCCCGCAAAUCCUCAAACAAAGUGUAGUGUGGUGAUUUCCAAAUCUCAUUAAGGUAUUUCCUCCCUGGCAACUAUUGGGGGCCAUGACACCAAACGUGUCACAUGGAACAUCCUUUCCCGUAUGUUCCAUGACGAUGUUGGGAGGAGGAUCAAUUGGAAGGGCAUGAAUGGGAAAAAAUCAUUCAAUCAGAUGGAGUCUAAAAAGUUACUCCUGUGUGCUGUGAGAAAGAGCCAUGUCUCCCGUGCCGCCACUGAUGACGAGAUUACGAAGAAUGUAAUACGGUGGUUCAACCUGGCAGCAGAUAGGGGCAGCUCAAGGAGCCGUCCCACUGUCAGCAUCCUGACCCAACAGUAG